GCAGCCGCCACGGUAAUACGGAGGGUGCAAGCGUUAAUCGGAAUUACUGGGCGUAAAGCGCACGCAGGCGGUCUGACAAGUCAGAUGUGAAAUCCCCGGGCUUAACCUGGGAACUGCAUUUGAAACUGUCAGGCUGGAGUCUUGUAGAGGGGGGUGGAAUUCCAGGUGUAGCGGUGAAAUGCGUAGAGAUCUGGAGGAAUACCGGUGGCGAAGGCGGCCCCCUGGACAAAGACUGACGCUCAGGUGCGAAAGCGUGGGGAGCAAACAGGAUUAGAUACCCGGGUAGUCCUGUCUCUUAUACA
rnacentral:rRNA from 1 species